GAAAAUCCAGCAGCGGCUGCCCACCGCGCAGGGCGCGGGCGGGUUUGAGUCGCCCGGACGGGGAUGUUCGGUGUUCGGCUGCUGACAGUUCAGAUAUCAAAAGAACAUCCUAGCUGUAGUAAGAUGAGGCCCUGAAGAAUGGCAAAUAUUCGAUUGCAGGACGUAGAAGCUAAGGCAAAAGUGGACAGACUUAAGCUCCAACUCAAGAGAAUAAAGGAACAACAGGAACUGUAUCAUCCUGAAAAGCCAGCUCCUCUCAGCAGCAAAGAUGGGGAUUGACUCUAUCCGGUUUGUAACAGUGUUGGUAGGUUGUUUGACUCUAAGCAGUUGUCUGUGUGUAACCAAAUUUACCCCAACACUGCCACCUUUUAUGUAAAUGCUUCUACUGUGAGCUCAGGUGAAGGUAACCCCAUAACUUGUGCAGAGAAUGUAAAAGUCAAUGGUAAAAGCUGUUUAGGGCAAAUUACAGCUUCUGACAUCACUCUUGUUAAAGCAGAUCUUAUCAAAAAGGAAGAUUAUUUACCAAAUCAGACUGUGAAUAUUGUAAUCCACUAUACGUUUACUGUACAUGUGCCUUUAGCCAGAAUCCAUCUUGAAUGCAAUGGUAUUAAACACGAAGUUAUAGCUUGUGCAAGGAAGUUAUUGCCUAAGGAUCUUUUGAUUGGGGAUGAUAUUAAAGCUUUGGUCAGUCCAGUUGGCAUAAAUCAGUCACAGGAAAGAAAUAAUCUUGAACCUGUGUCUACUUGGGGCAAGGAUUUGCCUAUGGAGGGUUUCUCCAAAUGUUUGUCUGAGAAAGAUAGCUGUUUAUCUGUGCCAAAAGGCAGUGCAUAUGUGGAAGAAAUUGCUGAGUAUCAGUCUGCUAUCUCAGAAGUGAAUUUGGCAUUCGAUAGGGCUCAGAGAAAUGUUUCUCUAGAGCAAAUUAAAGUUGGUGAUCAGGUUAAAGCCCUAACUGAGGAAGGAAGGGGUACAGUCUUGGUAAGUGAUGAAUUGUUAGCCAGUAAAGUUUGUGAAAGUAAGCCCGAAAAGGGUAGACAUUAUUUGUUUAAAGCAACUCGGUGUAGCUUGCAAACUUGACACCAUCAAAUUAGGCCUGAAUAAAGACUGGGAGUGGAUGGGUCACUACAAAAAAUAAUUUUCCUUCUGUUGAUACUCACACUUUAUUGUCAACUGUUGGGAAUGGGCCACAUCCUAAUUGAAUCGGCCUCGUUAGCAUUGACUCCCCAACUUGGUACGGCAACUCUCAUCUUUUCAUGUGCUGUGUAUUUAUAUCUGCCUACUGUAUUUUCCACUCCAUGCAUCUGAUGAAGUGGGUUCUAGCCCACGAAAGCUUAUGCCCAAAUACAUUUGUUAGUCUCUAAGGUG